GACAGAGGCCUCGAGCGUUAGGCGGAAUCACUGGGCUUAAAGCGUGUGUAGGCGGGCCCGUAAGUGUCUUGUGAAAUCCCACGGCUCAACCGUGGAACUGCUGGGCAUACUGCGGGUCUUGGGCCAACUAGGGGCAGCCGGAACAAGCGGUGGAGCGGUGAAAUGCGUAGAUAUCGCUUGGAACGCCGAAGGUGAAAACAGGUAACUGGGAGUGUGCCGACGCUGAGACACGAAAGCCAGGGGAGCGAACGGG
rnacentral:rRNA from 1 species